rnacentral:hammerhead_ribozyme from 1 species
GUACUGCUGAAGAGUCUCAACAUAGGACGAAACAGUUGUGCAGUGC